GUGUGUGAAAGCCGUCCUUCACCUAGCUUGUUGGGAACACAAAAUUUCUUUUCAGUUGCAAACUACACUCCAUAAAUAUAUAUGGGGAAAUAAUAGCUCCAAAUCGUUUUUAAAGUGAAAACUGUGUUAACAUAAUACCGCACUAGUAAACAGACUGAGAAACCAGAAAAAUAGUUUCUCCUGCAAACCGUUCUCUUUGUGCAAGAUGAAUGAACGUCUCUCCACAUGCUCAGUUCUGAGAGAUAAGUGUGUGUGAAAGCCGACCUUCACCUAUCUUGUUGGGAAAACAAAGUUUCUAUUCAGUAGCAAAUUACACUCCAUACAUAUAUAUGGGGAGGUUCUAGCUCCAACUUGUUUUUACAGUGAAAACUGCAGGAACUUCAAACUGUCACUACGAAACAGAGUAAGAAACCAGAGUAAAUGUUUCCCCUGCCACCCGUGUCAUUUGUGAUAGAUGAACGAACGUCUCUCCACAUGCUCAUUUCAGAGAGUGAAAACUGCAGGAACUUCAAACUGUCACUACGAAACAGAGUAAGAAACCAGAGUAAAUGUUUCCCCUGCCACCCGUGUCAUUUGUGAUAGAUGAACGAACGUCUCUCCACAUGCUCAUUUCAGAGAGUGAAAACUGCAGGAACUUCAAACUGUCACUACGAAACAGAGUAAGAAACCAGAGUAAAUGUUUCCCCUGCCACCCGUGUCAUUUGUGAUAGAUGAACGAACGUCUCUCCACAUGCUCAUUUCAGAGAGUGAAAACUGCAGGAACUUCAAACUGUCACUACGAAACAGAGUAAGAAACCAGAGUAAAUGUUUCCCCUGCCACCCGUGUCAUUUGUGAUAGAUGAACGAACGUCUCUCCACAUGCUCAUUUCAGAGAGUGAAAACUGCAGGAACUUCAAACUGUCACUACGAAACAGAGUAAGAAACCAGAGUAAAUGUUUCCCCUGCCACCCGUGUCAUUUGUGAUAGAUGAACGAACGUCUCUCCACAUGCUCAUUUCAGAGAGUGAAAACUGCAGGAACUUCAAACUGUCACUACGAAACAGAGUAAGAAACCAGAGUAAAUGUUUCCCCUGCCACCCGUGUCAUUUGUGAUAGAUGAACGAACGUCUCUCCACAUGCUCAUUUCAGAGAGUGAAAACUGCAGGAACUUCAAACUGUCACUACGAAACAGAGUAAGAAACCAGAGUAAAUGUUUCCCCUGCCACCCGUGUCAUUUGUGAUAGAUGAACGAACGUCUCUCCACAUGCUCAUUUCAGAGAGUGAAAACUGCAGGAACUUCAAACUGUCACUACGAAACAGAGUAAGAAACCAGAGUAAAUGUUUCCCCUGCCACCCGUGUCAUUUGUGAUAGAUGAACGAACGUCUCUCCACAUGCUCAUUUCAGAGAGUGAAAACUGCAGGAACUUCAAACUGUCACUACGAAACAGAGUAAGAAACCAGAGUAAAUGUUUCCCCUGCCACCCGUGUCAUUUGUGAUAGAUGAACGAACGUCUCUCCACAUGCUCAUUUCAGAGAGUGAAAACUGCAGGAACUUCAAACUGUCACUACGAAACAGAGUAAGAAACCAGAGUAAAUGUUUCCCCUGCCACCCGUGUCAUUUGUGAUAGAUGAACGAACGUCUCUCCACAUGCUCAUUUCAGAGAGUGAAAACUGCAGGAACUUCAAACUGUCACUACGAAACAGAGUAAGAAACCAGAGUAAAUGUUUCCCCUGCCACCCGUGUCAUUUGUGAUAGAUGAACGAACGUCUCUCCACAUGCUCAUUUCAGAGAGUGAAAACUGCAGGAACUUCAAACUGUCACUACGAAACAGAGUAAGAAACCAGAGUAAAUGUUUCCCCUGCCACCCGUGUCAUUUGUGAUAGAUGAACGAACGUCUCUCCACAUGCUCAUUUCAGAGAGGUAAGUGUGUGUGAAAGUCGUACUUCACCUAGGUUGUUGGGAACACAAAGUUUCUUUUCAGUUGCUAACUACACUCCAUAAAUAUAUAUGGGGAAGUACUAGCUCCAACUGGGUUUACAAUGAAAACUGGAGGAACUUCAACCAACACUAGGAAAGAGACUGAGAAUCCAGAGUAAAAUUUCUCCUGCAAACC